UAACAGUAAUCAUUUUCGCUAAUUCUUCACGAUCCUUAUUUGGAUCGUAAUAUAAAAUACCUAAGGUGACUGUAUUUAUUCCUGGUUGAACUAGAUUAGAACCAGUACUUGGGUUGACUGUAGAAUCAACACUUGUCCUCCCCUCUUGUUGCGCUUUCAAUUGCAAAUAUAUAGCCUUAUCGCUAGGGUGUAAUUUUAUAUGCUUAACUAAACUACCCGUGCCGCUAUGAUCUCCAGUAUACCUAUG
rnacentral:lncRNA from 1 species